rnacentral:lncRNA from 1 species
ACCUGUAUUUAAUAUUUGUAAAUGGGCAUUUUAAAUAUUACUGUGUCACUGCACGUACACAUUGCAUUUAUGAAUCAGAAAAUAUUCCUUAAAAGAUGCCUUCAUUUCAUAGUAUUCAACUAUGUGAAUAGUACAUAAAAUGUUGUAAAAUAAAAUCACAAUUGGGUUAAAUAUAAAAAGCACUAGAUUUUUGGUGGACAUCCACAUAUUAUAGAAAUUAGGCCUUCAACCCUAUAUAGUAAU